ACGCUGGCGGCGCGCCUAACACAUGCAAGUCGAACGGAGCUGAGAGGAGCUUGCUUUCUCAGCUUAGUGGCGAACGGGUGAGUAACGCGUGAGUAACCUGCCCUGGAGUGGGGGACAACAGUUGGAAACGACUGCUAAUACCGCAUAAGCCCACGGAUCCGCAUGGAUCUGCGGGAAAAGGAUUUAUUCGCUUCAGGAUGGACUCGCGUCCAAUUAGCUAGUUGGUGAGGUAACGGCCCACCAAGGCGACGAUUGGUAGCCGGACUGAGAGGUUGAACGGCCACAUUGGGACUGAGACACGGCCCAGACUCCUACGGGAGGCAGCAGUGGGGAUAUUGCACAAUGGGGAAACCCUGAUGCAGCGACGCCGCGUGGAGGAAGAAGGUUUUCGGAUUGUAAACUCCUGUCGUUAGGGACGAUAAUGACGGUACCUAACAAGAAAGCACCGGCUAACUACGUG
rnacentral:rRNA from 1 species